rnacentral:lncRNA from 1 species
CUUUCAGACGCAUUGCCUUGAGGAGCAUAGAUGGCUGUAUAGCAAUGCUUAAUUUUGUAUUUUUCCAGAAGUGCAUUGAAGCUAUUGGACUUAAACUGGACGCCAUUAUCGGAAACAACAACCUCCGGAACACCGAAGCAGUGGAAGAUAUCUUCUUCGAGGAAACGAAUGACAGAUUCAGCUGUAAAUUUUUUCACUGUUUUCAAGAAAGGGAAUUUAGAGAAAUGGUCUAGCACCACAAAUAUACCAAUAUUCCCUGAGCGACUCCUAGGGUAAGGUCCUAGAAAAUCAACAAAUAGCUUUUGGAAAACGCGUUGCGUUUCAGCCGUUUUGCCUAGGGGCGGACGUAAGGUAUAGUUAGGAUACUUCGUGCAUUUACACAUAUCGCAGUUAUUGAUGUAAUUUUUCACGUCAGUUACUAAGUUUGGCCAGAAAAAAUAUCUACGCAGUUGAUCAAGGGUUUUACAAAUGCCAGCGUGGGAAGACAAGGGAGAUUCAUGAGCGGAUUUGAGAAUUUCCGGAACCAUGUCCUUUGGAAUCCAUA